CUGUGCUAGAUGGGGAGUUAGCGGUGCCCUGUUUCCUGCAAUCCGCUUUAGCAGGAUCGAAUUCCCAUCCGAGGCCUACUCCCCCUUUGCGGCAGCAGCAAUAAUUGAUGUUGAUGGAUCAAGUCCUUCGCAAUAGAAUGAUGCCCAACCCCGUCAGGACCGGAAGGUAGCAGCGGUAAGCGUUUAUUUUAUGUGCCGGGGGAAUACUUGCCCGGAGUCGAUUAUUGUCGGUUGCACGUUGGAAAGGAAAGGACAGAGAUGGGUGCACAG
rnacentral:SRP_RNA from 1 species